AAUUGAAUAAGGAACGUUCUUCCAAAUUUUUAUUUGUCUCGUAGCAUUUUGACAUACCUCCCAAACAUCCUUAAGAAGAGAGACUAACUUGAUAAGAAAAUAUCAUACCUAUCCUGAUAAAAAUGUAUCUUUUUGAAGAAAAAUGUUUAAGAAUAAGUUAAUUUUUAGCUCUUUCUCUCAAGUAUCAUUUGUAUUAAAUAAUUAAUUUUCAACAUCAACCGCAACGCAAAAAAAUGACAUAUACUUAGGAAAUUACCGUGUGAAUAUACCGGCAUGGACAUAACACUAGUUAAUACAACGCUUAAUUUUAUUUGUAAGAUGAUACAAGAUAAUUUGUUUUUUAUGAAGAAACACAGUAUAGAUCAUAAUUUCCCAUCAGUUUUACCCUUACGUUACUCAAAUAGCCUGUGUUUUUGUAAUAAAUAGGUUUGAUGAAGAAGUCGUAUAAUUAAUAAUUUAACAGUUACGGUAUUGUAAAUUUUCUGAAUAAAUUCUUUAACAUAUCAUUUCCAGAACCUGUUAAUGACGACUGUACAUAAAAUAUGGAUACUGUAAUAGGUACCAUAAUCCAGAAUUAUGACAGAAAAUUUCUAUGUGUGAAAGACGUAAAUAAGUACCUAUUAACGUGUUAAUGUUUUCAGAUAACAUCUGAUUUUAUCAGUACGCAUAAUAGCUCGGCUUUGAGCUUUGUUGAUAUUCACGGCUAUUAGGUACGUGUACGAGUAGUCAUACGGAUUCUGAAGUACUAGCUUUGUAAUAACUUGGAAAAAUCCAAUUAUAUUAAAAAAAUCAAACUAGGUAUGACACCUGCGUAUAUUACUUUCAUGUAUUUAUAAUGAAAAUACACACAUAUUAUGUUUUGUUUAGAAUUUAAUAAAGUAUUAUUGUUGUAUAUCAUUUGUACACAUGUAUGUAUACACUGCAUUAUACGGAUUACAUUGUACUGCUAGCGAUUAUCUUGCAUGUAAAAAAAGAAAU